rnacentral:rRNA from 1 species
UACGUAGGGACCAAGCGUUGUUCGGAUUUACUGGGCGUAAAGCGCACGUAGGCGGCGCAGCAAGUCAGGGGUGAAAUCCCGGGGCUCAACCCCGGAACUGCCCUUGAAACUGCAGUGCUAGAAUCUUGGAGAGGCGAGUGGAAUUCCGAGUGUAGAGGUGAAAUUCGUAGAUAUUCGGAAGAACACCAGUGGCGAAGGCGACUCGCUGGACAAGUAUUGACGCUGAGGUGCGAAAGCGUGGGGAGCAAACAGG